rnacentral:rRNA from 1 species
ACGCCCGAAGUCGUUACCCCAACUCUAAGGAGAGGGGGAUGCCGAAGGCAGGACUGGUGACUGGGGUGAAGUCGUAACAAGGUAGCCGUACCGGAAGGUGUGGCUGGAUCACCUCCUUU